AUUGAACGCUGGCGGAAUGCUUUACACAUGCAAGUCGAACGGUAGAGGGGGCAACCCCUCGAGAGUGGCGAACGGGUGAGUAAUAUAUCGGAACGUGCCCAGUCGUGGGGGAUAACGUAGCGAAAGUUACGCUAAUACCGCAUACGAUCUCAGGAUGAAAGCGGGGGAUCGCAAGACCUCGCGCGAUUGGAGCGGCCGAUAUCAGAUUAGGUAGUUGGUGGGGUAAAGGCUCACCAAGCCAACGAUCUGUAGCUGGUCUGAGAGGACGACCAGCCACACUGGAACUGAGACACGGACCAGACUCCUACGGGAGGCAGCAGUGGGGAAUUUUGGACAAUGGACGCAAGUCUGAUCCAGCCAUUCCGCGUGCAGGAUGAAGGCCCUCGGGUUGUAAACUGCUUUUGUACGGAACGAAAAGGUCUCUCUUAAUACGGGGGACUCAUGACGGUACCGUAAGAAUAAGCACCGGCUAACUACGUGCCAGCCGCCGCGGUAA
rnacentral:rRNA from 1 species